UACAAAGACCAUGCCAACUUGUCAAAGCUUGAUCCUGUCAGAUCUCAGAAGCUGAAUAAGGCCAGGCCUGGUCAGUACUUAGAUGGGAGACUGCCAGGAAUACCAGGUGGCACCGUGU
rnacentral:rRNA from 1 species